GACAGACAGGUGGUCAGACAGAAAGACAGUCAGACAGACAGGUGGUCAGACAGACAGGUGGUCAGACAGACAGUCAGACAGACAGUCAGACGGACAGGCGGUCAGACAGACAGGUGGUCAGACAGACAGACAGUCAGACAGACAGGCGGUCAGACAGACCGUGUUGCCCGGGCUCUUGCAGCGCAGCAGGGGUGAACUUGCUGUGGUUCUUCUUGCUCCGGCUCUUGGACUUGCGGAGUUCCUCGGAGCGCUCGUAGUCCGACAGAUCCACCACCUCCUGGGCCUUACGGUCGUCACGCACCUACACACACACACGCACACGCACGCACGCACGCACGCACGCACGCAC